CCUAUUGCAUGUUAUAUGUGUCAUGCAAGACUGCCCCGCUCUUUGCGCAUAAGCGCAAAGAAUUUAGAAUUUUGAAAUUCGAAUUUUGAAAUUCAAAAUUGCUUUGUUCGCUUGCGAACAAAGAGCGGGGAGGAAGGUGGGGAUGACGCGAGGUCAGCGUGGCCCUUUGAUACCCUGGGCUACACACGUGGUACAAUGGCGCGUACAAUGGGUUGCCAAGUCGCGAGAUGGAGCUAAUCCCAUCAAAGCGCGCCCCAGUUCGGAUCGGAGUCUGCAACUCGACUCCGUGAAGCCGGAAUCGCUAGUAAGCGCGGAUCAGCUACGCCGCGCUGAAUACGUUCUCGAAUCUUGUACUCACCGCCCGUCACGUCAAGGGAGCCGGGAGUAGCCAAAGUUCCCGCCCUUUUGGUGGAAGGACUCGAAUAUAUAUAUUUUGCGAGCAUUCCUUUCUGCCAAAUGGGCGGGACCUAAGCUAAGCUCGGUGACAGGGACGAAGUCGUUUUGACAAACUUGAAGCGACAUGGUGUAGUAAUACACCAUAA
rnacentral:rRNA from 1 species